rnacentral:lncRNA from 1 species
AUUUAUAAAUAUUACCCACAACUAUAACAUUAUAUCAAAUUCACACCAUAAUAUUCAAAAAAAUAUUUCAAAAAAUUAAAUCUUUAUUCAUAAAAUCUGAGGUCUCACAAAAUACAUCAAACUAAUUGCAAAUGGUAUAAUUUAGAUAGGACCAAAUGUGCAACCUUAACUUUAACUUCAAGACUUGGUUUAAAAAGUAGCUGUUUGGCCUAUAACUAUGAAUGUCAACACAAAAUUAUAACAAUAUUUACUGAGAAGAG